rnacentral:tRNA from 1 species
GCGGAACGUAGGCGCUUUAGGUGUGUGUUGACCAUGCACUCUCGCGUCAUGUAAUGUCGUAUGUAUGAUAGAGGUGGUGCGGUGAUUGACCUCAAUGCUAAUGGUUAUCCCCAAGGGAGGCUAUGAUUGUACCCGGAUAGAGAUGAUGGUCUUCCUCUGAUGUCUCCAAGCCGGCCAGAUAGGCGAAGCAGCCAGUAGCAGUCUGUUCUCGCCUAUCGAUAGAUAGCCAAGCUCAAACCAUUUGAAACUUAAUUGCGACUUUCUUCUUGUUAUUGAUAGAGUGGUAUUCUCCGCCCAGGUGGAAGAGAGAAGGAAAAAGAGCACAAAGGAUUUACAAGUCUAAUGGGAGAAGAAUGGCUGACACGUUGACUGCCUUCGAGACUAUAAAAUAUAACCUGGGCAACCGAAAGGCGUUAGACGGACUAACGGCAAGCGAGAUAAAGAAAGCUGCUGGCCGUUGCUUAUUUACUUUUAGUAAGACUAAGCAAAAUUCGAUGCAUGGUUGCUUACAAGAGCUUCUAUCUGUUCUUUGCUGGAGGAAACUUCUAUCUGGCCUCUGUACGCUACUUUCAAUCAGAAAAGAAAAAUGGAGAAAGAAGUUGUCCCCUCUUCUCUGGUAACCCGCCACCGCAUAUGUAGAAAAAGAGGGGGCGGGGAAGGAGGAACAACCGUUUUACUUUGGCACAUGAGGUGGGCUAGGUAACAUAAUGGAAAUGUAUCGGACUGCAAAUCCUGGAAUGACGGUUCGACCCCGUCCUUGGCCUCUGGGAGUGGCGAACAGCACGGAACUUUAAUUAAUCAAAUGGCAUAAAGGGGCUUUCCUUUGUUAGAAAUCCACAGACAACAUUCUGGAACUUCCAAACCAAAGGAAUGCAACAUGAGAAGGAGCUUUUUACGUUACGCUUCAAUAGAAUGAAUUCGGUUAAGGGUAGAAUACGCCCUAUGGUCGAUCGAAGGUCCUGUGCCACUUGAACUCAAAUCUAUCUUACCUUCAAUCCAUCUUUGUCUAGCCGGCUCAUAACAAAAUGUUAGACCGGGCUGACACAACCGAAUUGGUUGAGGAAAAGCAAACCCCAGCGACCAAGCACUCCUGCCCCCAAAAGCGGAGACCGAACAGCCGCCAGGUUGUCGAGGACACGUCUGAAGAGGAGGCGGGCGCCCUCUAAGUUUACCACCCUACCCACUACUGGACUAUGGGGGGCAGGCAGGCGAACGGGAAUCGACCGAGAACCCGAACCCCUUGACUGACUGACCCCUUCAUACUCGAGGGUCGGGGAUGGAUGGAACCAAUCAGAAGUGCAAAUCGCGCAAGCGAAGCGACCGCACCGAAACGACUCGGACUCGUGUCGGAGGAGUUUUGAGCGUGAGCUACCACUCAUGCAGCGGCAAGGACCCGCAGCUCUCGAGGGGCCACCAACCGCCCGAAUCGCUCCUUUACUCAAUGGAUAGCGCUUAUCCUC